rfam:Myotis davidii contig168122, whole genome shotgun sequence.
AGCUUUGUGCAGUGGCAGUAUUAUAGCCAAUGAAGUUUAUCCCAGGCAUGAUUAUUGCUAAUUGG